GAGGCGAACCGGGGGAACUGAAACAUCUAAGUACCCCGAGGAAAAGAAAUCAACCGAGAUUCCGAAAGUAGCGGCGAGCGAAAUUGGACUAGCCCUUAAGCUUUACACGCGUUAGACGAACGGUCUGGAAAGUCCGACGAUACAGGGUGAUAGUCCCGUAGUUGACGACGUGUGUUCAGUGAAAUCGAGUAGGGCGGGACACGUGAUAUCCUGUCUGAAUAUGGGGGGACCAUCCUCCAAGGCUAAAUACUACUGACUGACCGAUAGUGAACCAGUACCGUGAGGGAAAGGCGAAAAGAACCCCUGUGAGGGGAGUGAAAUAGAACCUGAAACCGUGUACGUACAAGCAGUAGGAGCAGGCUUUGUCCUGUGACUGCGUACCUUUUGUAUAAUGGGUCAGCGACUUAUAUUCAGUGGCAAGGUUAACCAUCUAGGGGAGCCGUAGGGAAACCGAGUCUUAACUGGGCGUUCAGUCUCUGGAUAUAGACCCGAAACCAGGUGAUCUAGCCAUGGGCAGGUUGAAGGUUGAGUAACAUCAACUGGAGGACCGAACCGACUAAUGUUGAAAAAUUAGCGGAUGACUUGUGGCUAGGGGUGAAAGGCCAAUCAAACCUGGAGAUAGCUGGUUCUCCCCGAAAGCUAUUUAGGUAGCGCCUCGGACGAAUACUACUGGGGGUAGAGCACUGUUAAGGCUAGGGGGUCAUCCCGACUUACCAACCCUUUGCAAACUCCGAAUACCAGUAAGUACUAUCCGGGAGACACACGGCGGGUGCUAACGUCCGUCGUGGAGAGGGAAACAACCCAGACCGCCAGCUAAGGUCCCAAAUUACUACUAAGUGGGAAACGAUGUGGGAAGGCUCAGACAGCCAGGAUGUUGGCUUAGAAGCAGCCAUCAUUUAAAGAAAGCGUAAUAGCUCACUGGUCGAGUCGGCCUGCGCGGAAGAUGUAACGGGGCUAAGUAGUAAACCGAAGCUGCGGCAAUGUGCUUUUGCACAUUGGGUAGGGGAGCGUUCUGUAAGCGGUUGAAGGUGUGUGGUAACGCAUGCUGGACGUAUCAGAAGUGCGAAUGCUGACAUGAGUAACGAUAAAGGGGGUGAAAAACCUCCUCGCCGGAAGACCAAGGGUUCCUGUCCAACGUUAAUCGGGGCAGGGUAAGUCGACCCCUAAGGCGAGGCCGAAAGGCGUAGUCGAUGGGAAACGGGUUAAUAUUCCCGUACUUCUUACAAUUGCGAUGGGGGGACGGAGAAGGCUAGGUGGGCCUGGCGACGGUUGUCCAGGUUCAAGUGCGUAGGCUUAAGAGUUAGGUAAAUCCGGCUCUUUUUAAGGCUGAGACACGACGUCGAGCACCUACGGGUGUGAAGUCAUUGAUGCCAUGCUUCCAGGAAAAGCCUCUAAGCUUCAGAUUGUAAGGAAUCGUACCCCAAACCGACACAGGUGGUCGGGUAGAGAAUACCAAGGCGCUUGAGAGAACUCGGGUGAAGGAACUAGGCAAAAUGGUACCGUAACUUCGGGAGAAGGUACGCUCUCGACGGUGAAGUCCCUUGCGGAUGGAGCUAUUGAGAGUCGCAGAUACCAGGUGGCUGCAACUGUUUAUUAAAAACACAGCACUGUGCAAAAUCGUAAGAUGACGUAUACGGUGUGACGCCUGCCCGGUGCCGGAAGGUUAAUUGAUGGGGUUAGACUUCGGUCGAAGCUCUUGAUCGAAGCCCCGGUAAACGGCGGCCGUAACUAUAACGGUCCUAAGGUAGCGAAAUUCCUUGUCGGGUAAGUUCCGACCUGCACGAAUGGCGUAAUGAUGGCCACGCUGUCUCCACCCGAGACUCAGUGAAAUUGAAAUCGCUGUGAAGAUGCAGUGUACCCGCGGCUAGACGGAAAGACCCCGUGAACCUUUACUACAGCUUGGCACUGAACAUUGACCCUACAUGUGUAGGAUAGGUGGGAGGCUUUGAAGCA
rnacentral:rRNA from 1 species